UUUUUGAAAAUAAUUUAAAGUAGGGCCUGCCCMCUGAGAAUUUGAAGGGCCGCAGUAUUUUGACUGUGCAAAGGUAGCAUAAUCAUUAGUUUUUUAAUUGAAAGCUUGUAUGAAUGGUUUGAUGAGAAAAAAACUUUCUAUGAUUAAAUUUUUAAUAAUUUUAUUUUUAAGUUAAAAAGCUUAAAUUUUUAUAAUAGACGAGAAGACCCUAUAGAGUUUUAUUUUUAAAAAUUUUUAAAUUUUUAGUAUUUAAAAAUUAUAAUUUUUUUAAAAAUUUGAUUGGGGUGAUUAAAAAAUUAAACUAACUUUUUUUAUAUUUAAACAUAAAUUUAUGAAUUUUUGAUCCAUAUAAAUGAUUAAAAGAUUAAAUUACCUUAGGGAUAACAGCGUUAUUUUUUUUUAGAGUUCAAAUCGAAAAAAGGGAUUGCGACCUCGAUGUUGGAUUAAAGUUAAUUUUAGGUGCAGAAGCUUAAUUAUUUGGYCUGUUCRACCAUUAAAACUUUACA
rnacentral:rRNA from 1 species